rnacentral:tRNA from 1 species
GGCUUUAUAUUUAAUAUAUAAUUUUAGAUUGCAAAUUUAAAGUAGUAAUUUGUUUACUAAGGCUU